UACGAAGGGGGCUAGCGUUGCUCGGAAUUACUGGGCAUAAAGCGCACGUAGGCGGCUUUCUAAGUCGGGGGUGAAAUCCUGGAGCUCAACUCCAGAACUGCCUUCGAUACUGGAGAGCUUGAGUCCGGGAGAGGUGAGUGGAACUGCGAGUGUAGAGGUGAAAUUCGUAGAUAUUCGCAAGAACACCAGUGGCGAAGGCGGCUCACUGGCCCGGUACUGACGCUGAGGUGCGAAAGCGUGGGGAGCAAACAGG
rnacentral:rRNA from 1 species